rnacentral:rRNA from 1 species
AACGAACGCUGGCGGCAUGCCUAACACAUGCAAGUCGAACGAGACCUUCGGGUCUAGUGGCGCACGGGUGCGUAACGCGUGGGAAUCUGCCCUUGGGUUCGGAAUAACAGUUGGAAACGACUGCUAAUACCGGAUGAUGACGUAAGUCCAAAGAUUUAUCGCCCAAGGAUGAGCCCGCGUAGGAUUAGCUAGUUGGUGAGGUAAAGGCUCACCAAGGCGACGAUCCUUAGCUGGUCUGAGAGGAUGAUCAGCCACACUGGGACUGAGACACGGUCCAGACUCCUACGGGAGGCAGCAGUAGGGAAUAUUGCGCAAUGGACGAAAGUCUGACGCAGCCACGCCGCGUGAGUGAAGAAGGCCUGGUUGGUAAAGGUACUCUGUCAUCUGGAAAAACAAG